rnacentral:rRNA from 1 species
UGUAUUUAUUAGAUAAAAAACCAAUGACAUUCAGCUCCCAUUCAUAAUAACUUCUCAGAUCGCAUGGCCUUGCGCCGGCGACGGUUCACUCAAAUUUCUGCCCUAUCAACUUUCGAUGGUAAGGUAUUGGCUUACCAUGGUUUCAACGGGUAACGGGGAAUUAGGGUUCGAUUCUGGAGAAGGAGCCUGAGAGACGGCUACUACAUCCAAGGAAGGCAGCAGGCGCGCAAAUUACCCAAUCCCGACACGGGGAGGUAGUGACAAUAAAUACUGAUACAGGGCUCUUUUGGGUCUUGUAAUUGGAAUGAGUACAAUUUAAACCUCUUAACGAGGAACAAUUGGAGGGCAAGUCUGGUGCCAGCAGCCGCGGUAAUUCCAGCUCCAAUAGCGUAUAUUAAAGUUGUUGCAGUUAAAAAGCUCGUAGUUGAACCUUUGGCCUGGCUGGCAGGUCCGCCUCACCGCGUGUACUUGUCCGGCCGGGCCUUUUCUUCUGGAGAACCGCAUGCCCUUCACUGGGUGUGUUGGGGACCAGGACUUUUACUUUGAAAAAAUUAGAGUGUUCAAAGCAGGCCUUUGCUCGAAUACGUUAGCAUGGAAUAAUAGAAUAGGACGUGCGGUCCUAUUUUGUUGGUUUCUAGGACCGCCGUAAUGAUUAAUAGGGACAGUCGGGGGCAUCAGUAUUCAAUUGUCAGAGGUGAAAUUCUUGGAUUUAUUGAAGACUAACUACUGCGAAAGCAUUUGCCAAGGAUGUUUUCAUUAAUCAGUGAACGAAAGUUAGGGGAUCGAAGACGAUCAGAUACCGUCGUAGUCUUAACCAUAAACUAUGCCGACUAGGGAUCGGGCGAUGUUUCAAUUUUGACUCGCUCGGCACCUUACGAGAAAUCAA